CUCAGGACGAACGCUGGCGGCGUGCUUAACACAUGCAAGUCGAACGGAAAGGCCCUUCGGGGUGCUCGAGUGGCGAACGGGUGAGUAACACGUGGGUGAUCUGCCCUGCACUUUGGGAUAAGCCUGGGAAACUGGGUCUAAUACCGAAUAUGAUCAUCAGCUUCAUGGUUGGUGGUGGAAAGCUUUUGCGGUGUGGGAUGGGCCCGCGGCCUAUCAGCUUGUUGGUGGGGUAAUGGCCUACCAAGGCGACGACGGGUAGCCGGCCUGAGAGGGUGACCGGCCACACUGGGACUGAGAUACGGCCCAGACUCCUACGGGAGGCAGCAGUGGGGAAUAUUGCACAAUGGGCGCAAGCCUGAUGCAGCGACGCCGCGUGAGGGAUGACGGCCUUCGGGUUGUAAACCUCUUUCAGCACAGACGAAGCGCAAGUGACGGUAUGUGCAGAAGAAGGACCGGCCAACUACGUGCCAGCAGCCGCGGUAAUACGUAGGGUCCGAGCGUUGUCCGGAAUUACUGGGCGUAAAGAGCUCGUAGGUGGUUUGUCGCGUUGUUCGUGAAAACUCACAGCUUAACUGUGGGCGUGCGGGCGAUACGGGCAGACUGGAGUACUGCAGGGGAGACUGGAAUUCCUGGUGUAGCGGUGGAAUGCGCAGAUAUCAGGAGGAACACCGGUGGCGAAGGCGGGUCUCUGGGCAGUAACUGACGCUGAGGAGCGAAAGCGUGGGGAGCGAACAGGAUUAGAUACCCUGGUAGUCCACGCCGUAAACGGUGGGUACUAGGUGUGGGUUUCCUUCCUUGGGAUCCGUGCCGUAGCUAACGCA
rnacentral:rRNA from 1 species